rnacentral:lncRNA from 1 species
GGGACAUUUGGGUCUUAUAAUUUGGGAAAAUACAUGUUGAAAAUUAUUACAUGUAAUUGGGAAAAUAAAAUAUCUUUGGGAAAAAACACUUUUGAGAUCUGAGGGCAAAUGUUGAAAAUGUCAGUAGCCACAUAAUCCUCUUUCAAUUUCUUCCAUUUCCAGGCCUGGUUGCAUUGACAAACUCUCGACACAGCAGAUAAUGUGAACAUAGGAUUCUGACCACUUUGGACAAAGAGGAUUUUUCAACACUCUGAAAAAGUUCAACCAUUUAAAAUCUUUAAGGCGGCCUUCUGUAAGAGAUCCUUGAGGGCAGGAACUGUCUUUCUCCUUGUAUUUCCAGCACUUAGCACAGUCUGAUAUAUACUGACUGUGAAGGUGGCUUGGGGAGGAGUCCUCGGCAACUGGGGAAGAUAUCCAUCAACAAGAGA